AUGACUCUCGGCAACGGAUAUCUCGGCUCUCGCAUCGAUGAAGAACGUAGCGAAAUGCGAUACUUGGUGUGAAUUGCAGAAUCCCGUGAACCAUCGAGUGUUUGAACGCAAGUUGCGCCCGAAGCCUUUUGGCCGAGGGCACGUUUGCCUGGGCGUC
rnacentral:rRNA from 1 species